rnacentral:tRNA from 1 species
AGAACGCUUGCUUCCCAAGCAAGAUAUCGUGGGUUCGAGUCCCAUCACCCGCUCCA